rnacentral:rRNA from 1 species
UACGAAGGGUGCAAGCGUUAAUCGGAAUUACUGGGCGUAAAGCGCGCGUAGGCGGCUAAGUCAGUCGGAUGUGAAAUCCCUGGGCUCAACCUGGGAACUGCAUACGAUACUGCUUGGCUAGAGUGUGGGAGAGGGUGGUGGAAUUCCCGGUGUAGCGGUGAAAUGCGUAGAGAUGUGGAGGAACACCAGUGGCGAAGGCGACUUUCUGGCCUAUAACUGACGCUGAGGCGCGAAAGCGUGGGGAGCAAACAGG